rnacentral:rRNA from 1 species
GCAACUCGACUGCAUGAAGCUGGAAUCGCUAGUAAUCGCGAAUCAGCAUGUCGCGGUGAAUACGUUCCCGGGUCUUGUACACACCGCCCGUCACACCAUGGGAGUCGGAAAUGCCCGAAGCCAGUGACCCAACCUUUAAGGAGGGAGCUGUCGAAGGCAGGUCUGGUAACUGGGGUGAAGUCGUAACAAGGUAUC